rfam:Triticum aestivum genome assembly, contig: Triticum_aestivum_CS42_TGACv1_scaffold_032559_1BL
CUAGUACUCCUUCCGUCCGAAAAUACUUGUCAUCAAAAUGGACAAAAAGGGAUGUAUCCAGAAUUAAAAUACAUCUAGAUACAUCCUCUUUUAUUCAUUUUGUUGACAAGUAUUUCCGGACGGAGGGAGUGCAAU